GUUCAGGUCCAGGUCCAGCAGUCACCGCAGCAGGUCUCCGCCCAGCAGCUCUCCCCACAGCUCGCUGUCCAUCAGGCUUCGGAGCAACCGAUACAGGUCCAAGUGCAGAUCCAAGGCCAGGCGCAGCAGCAGGCAUCCCAGACCAUACAGAGUCAGUCUCUUCAGAGCCCCAGCCCAUCGCAGCUGCAGGCAGCUCAGAUCCAAGUGCAGCAUGUGCAGACUGCCCAGCAGAUCCAGGCUGCGGAGAUACAGGAGGAACACAUACAACACCAGCAGAUCCAGGCCCAGCUGGUGGCAGGACAGGCCAUUACUGGUGGCCAGCAGAUACAGAUCCAAACAGUUGGGGCACUGUCACCUCCACCUUCUCAACAAGGCUCUCCACGAGAGGGAGAGCGGCGGAUCAGCACCGCUAGUGUCCUUCAGCCCGUGAAGAAACGCAAAGUGGAUAUGCCUAUUACUGUAUCGUAUGCUAUUUCAGGGCAGCCUGUUGCCACAGUGCUGGCCAUUCCUCAGGGCCAGCAGCAAAGUUACGUCUCUUUAAGGCCAGACUUGUUAACAGUGGACAGUGCCCACCUGUACAGUGCCACUGGGACCAUUACUAGCCCCACUGGAGAGACUUGGACCAUCCCUGUUUACUCUGCUCAGCCACGUGGUGACCUUCAGCAGCAAAACAUCACCCACAUUGCCAUCCCUCAGGAGGCCUACAAUGCCGUCCACGUCAGCGGCUCGCCAACGACACUGACUACCGUGAAGCUGGAAGACGACAAGGAUAAGAUGGUGGGAAGUACUUCAGUGGUGAAGAAUUCUCAUGAGGAAGUGGUGCAGACUCUUGCUAAUUCGCUCUUUCCAGCACAGUUUAUGAAUGGCAACAUCCACAUUCCAGUGGCAGUGCAGGCUGUGGCAGGGACGUACCAGAAUACAGCACAGACAGUGCACAUAUGGGACCCGCAGCAGCAACCGCAGCAGCCCACACCCCAAGAGCAGGGGCAGCAGCAGCAGCUACAAGUCACUUGCUCGGUAAGUUAAAACUGGUU